CCAUACCAGCCGGGGAAUUAGCGGAGCCCUGUACCUGAAAUCCGCUACAGCAGGGGUUCAUUCCUUUUUUGAGGGUCGAUCUGAUACGGCUGAGCCGUAUUCUCCUGCGUUGAAGAGUGGGUCUUGCGCAAUUGGGAGCUGUGAACCAUGUCAGGUGGGGAACCAAGCAGCAUUAAGCGGUAUACCCGAUGUGCCGCGAGGCAGCCUGCUCGGAGCAGGAGGAACGGAGAUCGCGUAAAGGUGAGAUUCGAUCUUGAGGUGUAUGG
rnacentral:SRP_RNA from 1 species